rnacentral:rRNA from 1 species
AUCUGGCAAUCUUUGGUUGUCUGAAUUGAAUCUAGAGAAGUGUUUUCCGUGCUGGACUGUGUGCAAGUUUCCUGGAUAUGGAACAUCAUAGAGGGUGAGAAUCCCGUCCUUGACACAGACUCCCAGUGCUUUUGUGAUGCGCUCUCAACGAGUCGAGUUGUUUGGGAUUGCAGCUCAAAAUGGGAGGUAAAUUCCUUCUAAAGCUAAAUAUUGGCGAGAGACCGAUAGUAAACAAGUACCGUGAGGGAAAGAUGAAAAGCACUUUGGAAAGAGAGUUAAACAGUACGUGAAAUUGUUAAAAGGGAAACGCUUGAAGUCAGUCAUGUUUGCUUGGACUCAAUCUUACCCUGCCUUUGGCCUGGGUUGGGUGCAUUUCCUUGCUGACAGGCCAGUGUUCAUGUUGUUUUCUGGAAAAAGGGUGAAGGAAUGUGGCUCCUUUGGGAGUGUUAUAGCCUUUAUUCACAUGCAGGGAAUAAUAUGGAGUGGUACAGCAUGCUGUUGUUAGUGGUGCUUGUGCUGGCAUAA